rnacentral:rRNA from 1 species
AACGAACGCUGGCGGCAUGCCUAACACAUGCAAGUCGAACGAGACCUUCGGGCCUAGUUGCGCACGGGUGCGUAACGCGUGGGAACCUGCCCUUAGGUUCGGAAUAACUCCCCGAAAGGGGUGCUAAUACCGGAUAAUGUCUUCGGACCAAAGAUUUAUCGCCUUUGGAUGGGCCCGCGUUGGAUUAGCUAGUUGGUAGGGUAAAAGCCUACCAAGGCGACGAUCCAUAGCUGGUCGGAGAGGAUGAUCAGCCACACUGGAGCUGAGACACGGCCCAGACUCCUACGGGAGGGAGCAGUGGGGAAUAUUGGACAAUGGGCGAAAGCCUGAUCCAGCAAUGCCGCGUGAGUGAUGAAGGCCUUAGGGUUGUAAAGCUCUUUUACCCGGGAUGAUAAUGACAGUACCGGGAGAAUAAGCUCCGGCUAACUCCGUG